rnacentral:lncRNA from 1 species
UAUUUUAGUGGUUUUUAUAUAAAAGGGCAUUUGAUUAAAUGUAAUUAUAAAUAUGAAAUACAACAGUUAUAAUUAUAUUUAUUUUAUUUAAUUAGAUGUAGUAGAAAAUGUUGUAAGUAUAAAUUUUGUUUUUGGUUAUAUGGGGCUGAGAAGUGCUUUUAUAAAAUUUUAUAGAAUUUUAUCUCUUUAAGUCUUCUUAUUAAGAAGGUAAAUUCAUGUUUUGUUUAAAGUUAUUUUUUUCAACUCUACAGUUGAAAUUUUAGCUAAUUUGAGCGUAGUAUCAGCUGCUGCAAUUUUAACUUCACACGCAUUUUCGAAUUUAUGUACAAUUGGAAAAUGUUAGCUGUGAACCCAAAAAGGGGUGUGCAGCUUGCGCUCUUCAUCCUAAUUAAGGUUCAUAAACCUUUUGAAUAUUUUAUAUUAAAAUUAAUACAAAUUAAAAAUAUAUAAAAGUUAUCUAAACUAUAGACCAUUUUAAGCUGAUUUUUUAACUUUUCAAUUUGUUUGAUUUGAAUCCGUCAACGAUAUUUUGACUUCAAAAUUUGAAUCUGGCUUUUAUAUUAAUACGCUUAAUUUGUAUAAUUCAUGCAAUUUUUACAACUAUAAAUUUAUUAAAAUAAGUAAUUAUUUUUAAUUUUAAAGUCAAAGUACUAUAGAGUCACUCAAAUCAAACCAAUUGAAAGUU